CACGUAGGGCGCAAGCGUUGUUCGGAAUUACUGGGCGUAAAGGGCGCGUAGGCGGCCUUCUAAGUCGAACGUGAAAUCCCCGGGCUCAACCCGGGAACUGCGUCCGAUACUGGAAGGCUUGAAUUCGGGAGAGGGAUGCGGAAUUCCAGGUGUAGCGGUGAAAUGCGUAGAUAUCUGGAGGAACACCGGUGGCGAAGGCGGCAUCCUGGACCGGCAUUGACGCUGAGGCGCGAAAGCCAGGGGAGCAAACGGG
rnacentral:rRNA from 1 species